GGCUUGCUCGGGCAGCGCCGGAGUGAGGCGUUCUGGCUUGAGGGCCUCAUACUGUCAGCUCCAUGCGGAUGAAGGCAUAUCUGCUCAUCAUGGUUUUCCCACUGCCUGGUGCUGGCUGAUACAGCAAGUACUUAAAUAUGUAUUCAAUGAGUACAGUUGGAAGACAAGUUUAAAUCCUGGAUUGGGCA